rnacentral:rRNA from 1 species
GGAGUUAGCCGGUGCUUCUUCUGUGAGUGAUGUCCUUCCUGCCGGUUAUUGACCCGCAGGCCUUCUUCCUCACUGAAAGUGCUUUACAACCCGAAGGCCUUCUUCACACACGCGGCAUGGCUGGAUCAGGGUUGCCCCCAUUGUCCAAUAUUCCCCACUGCUGCCUCCCGUAGGAGUCUGGGCCGUGUCUCAGUCCCAGUGUGGCUGAUCAUCCUCUCAGACCAGCUACGGAUCGUCGCCUUGGUGAGCCGUUACCUCACCAACCAGCUAAUCCGACAUAGGCUCAUCCGAUAGCGCGAGGCCCGAAGGUCCCCCGCUUUCCCCCGUAGGGCGUAUGCGGUAUUAGCCUGGGUUUCCCCAGGUUAUCCCCCACUACCGGGCAUAUUCCUAUGCAUUACUCACCCGUCCGCCGCUCGCCACCAGGGAGCAAGCUCCCCGUGCUGCCGCUCGACUUGCAUGUGUUAGGCCUGCCGCCAGCGUUCAAUCUGAACCAAGAUCAAAUUCUGA